rnacentral:rRNA from 1 species
GACGAACGCUGGCGGCGCGCUUAACACAUGCAAGUCGAGCGAAGCGGCGGACGGGUGAGUAACACGUGAGUAACCUGCCUUAGACAUUGGGAUAGCCUCGGGAAACCGGGAUUAAUACCAAAUGGUCUAAGAUAGACUCGCGUCCCAUUAGCUAGUUGGUGGGUAACGGCCCACCAAGUCAACGAUGGGUAGCCGGCCUGAUAUGGUGAACGGCCACAUUGGAAGUGAGAAACGGGCCAAACUCUACGGGAGGCAGCAGUGGGGAAUAUUGCACAAUGGAGGGAACUCUGAUGCAGCGACGCCGCGUGAACGAAGAAGGCGUUCGAGUCGUAAAGUUUUUUUAUAUGGGAAGCGGUACCAUAAGAAAAAGCCCCGGCUAACUACGUGCCAGCCGCCGCGGUAAUAC